GUAGGUGGCAAGCGUUGUCCGGAAUUAUUGGGCGUAAAGCGCGCGCAGGCGGUUCUUUAAGUCUGAUGUGAAAGCCCACGGCUCAACCGUGGAGGGUCAUUGGAAACUGGAGAACUUGAGUACAGAAGAGGAAGCGGAAUUCCACGUGUAGCGGUGAAAUGCGUAGAGAUGUGGAGGAACACCAGUGGCGAAGGCGGCUUUCUGGUCUGUAACUGACGCUGAGGCGCGAAAGCGUGGGGAGCAAACAGGAUUAGAUACCCUGGUAGUCCACGCCGUAAACGAUGAGUGCUAAGUGUUAGGGGGGUUUUCCGCCCCCCUUAGUGCUGCAGCUAACGCAUUAAGCACUCCGCCUGGGAGUACGGCCGCAAGGCUG
rnacentral:rRNA from 1 species